AUUAGCUUGAUUGGUGGGGGUAACGGCCUCCCCAAGGCCAAUGAAUCCUUAGCCCGACCUUGAAAGGGUUAUUCGGCCCCCAUUGGGAUUGAGGACCCCGGCCCCAAAUUCCUUACGGGAGGCAGCCAGUAGGGAAUUUUUCCCCAAUGGACGAAAGUCUGAUGGAGCAACCCCCGCCUGAAUGAAGAAAGGGUUUCGGCUCGUAAAACUCUGUUGUUAAAGAAGAACAAUUUUGAGAGUAACUGUUCAGGUAUUGACGGUAUUUAACCAGAAAGUCAGGGCUAACUACGUGCCAGCAGCCGCGGUAAUACGUAGGUGGCAAGCGUUGUCCGGAUUUAUUGGGCGUAAAGCGAGUGCAGGCGGUUUUUUAAGUCUGAUGUGAAAGCCUUCGGCUCAACCGAAGAAGUGCAUCGGAAACUGGAAAACUUGAGUGCAGAAGAGGACAGUGGAACUCCAUGUGUAGCGGUGAAAUGCGUAGAUAUAUGGAAGAACACCAGUGGCGAAGGCGGCUAUCUGGUCUGUAACUGACGCUGAGACUCGAAAGUAUGGGUAGCGAACAGGAUUAGAUACCCUGGUAGUCCAUACCGUAAACGAUGAAUGCUAAGUGUUGGAGGGUUUCCGCCCUUCAGUGCUGCAGCUAACGCAUUAAGCAUUCCGCCUGGGGAGUACGGCCGCAAGGCUGAAACUCAAAGGAAUUGACGGGGGCCCGCACAAGCGGUGGAGCAUGUGGUUUAAUUCGAAGCUACGCGAAGAACCUUACCAGGUCUUGACAUACUAUGCAAAUCUAAGAGAUUAGACGUUCCCUUCGGGGACACGGAUACAGGUGGUGCAUGGUUGUCGUCAGCUCGUGUCGUGAGAUGUUGGGUUAAGUCCCGCAACGAGCGCAACCCUUAUUAUCAGUUGCCAGCAUUAAGUUGGGCACUCUGGUGAGACUGCCGGUGACAAACCGGAGGAAGGUGGGGAUGACGUCAAAUCAUCAUGCCCCUUAUGACCUGGGCUACACACGUGCUACAAUGGACGGUACAACGAGUUGCGAACUCGCGAGAGUAAGCUAAUCUCUUAAAGCCAUUCUCAGUUCGGAUUGUAGGCUGCAACUCGCCUACAUGAAGUCGGAAUCGCUAGUAAUCGCGGAUCAGCAUGCCGCGGUGAAUACGUUCCCGGGCCUUGUACACACCGCCCGUCACACCAUGAGAGUUUG
rnacentral:rRNA from 1 species